UCAGAUUUUUGUAGGAUCAUACAUCUAGAGCUGAAAGGAACCCUCAGAGGAACCUUAAUAUAGUUUUCUCAUUUUACAGAUGAAGAAACAGAGGCAUGCAGAAAUUAAUUGGCUUGUUCAAGAUGACAGACAGUAAGCAGAGAGUUUCCUCUUAGAUAAAAUCACCUGGAGAGAAAGAUGGCAAACCAUACCAUUAUCUGCCAAGAAAAAUCCAAAUGGGCUCACAAAGACUGAACAACAACACAUGCCAGGUAAUGUGCUGAGUACUGCUAUUACUGUUAUUUGAUUUUUACAGACCAUCCUGGAUUCUACCCCCUGCCUUGUC
rnacentral:lncRNA from 1 species